AGCGAACGCUGGCGGCAUGCCUAACACAUGCAAGUCGAACGAGACCUUCGGGUCUAGUGGCGCACGGGUGCGUAACGCGUGGGAACCUGCCCUUAGGUUCGGAAUAACUCCCCGAAAGGGGUGCUAAUACCGGAUAAUGUCUUCGGACCAAAGAUUUAUCGCCUUUGGAUGGGCCCGCGUUGGAUUAGCUAGUUGGUAGGGUAAAAGCCUACCAAGGCGACGAUCCAUAGCUGGUCUGAGAGGAUGAUCAGCCACACUGGGACUGAGACACGGCCCAGACUCCUACGGGAGGCAGCAGUGGGGAAUAUUGGACAAUGGGCGAAAGCCUGAUCCAGCAAUGCUGCGUGAGUGAUGAAGGCCUUAGGGUUGUAAAGCUCUUUUACCCGGGAUGAUAAUGACAGUACCGGGAGAAUAAGCUCCGGCUAACUCCGUG
rnacentral:rRNA from 1 species